CCUACGGGGGGCAGCAGUGGGGAAUUUUGCGCAAUGCUCGUAAGAGUGACGCAGCGACGCCGCGUGAAUGACGAAGGCCUUCGGGUCGUAAAGUUCUUUCGACAGGGAAGAAAAUGCCUAUAAGUAACUGUGUAUGUAUUGACGGUACCUGUAUAAGCAGCCCCGGCUAACUCCGUGCCAGCAGCCGCGGUAAUACGGAGGGGGCGGGCGUUGUUCGGAGGGACUGGGCGUAAAGAGCACGUAGGCGGUGUUGUAAGUCAUUAAUCAAAGACUAGAGCUCAACUUUAGUAAGGCUAGUGAUACUAUAAUACUAGAGUAUCAGAGAGGAUUGCAGAAUUCCUGGUGUAGCGGUGAAAUGCGUAGAUAUCAGGAGGAAUACCGUUAGCGAAGGCGGCAAUCUGGCUGGAAACUGACGCUGAGGUGCGAAAGCGUGGGUAGCAAACAGGAUUAGAUACCCCAGUAGUC
rnacentral:rRNA from 1 species